CAAAACCUAGCAUGCAAUACAAAGCCUCUCAACCCUCUCUCUCGAAUAGCCUCCCCGAAACGCCUCUCUCUCUCUCUCUCUCUUGUGAAACCUCGAUCUCUCUCGUGAAUCUCUCAGUCCUCCGCGAAAGCUCUCUAUCUCGUGAAACCUCUCUCAGCCCUCUCUCCCCAGUUUCCAAUUCCACACUUAAUUUCAACCCUCUAAAUCCCUAAAUCCCAAAUCCUCCACCUUACAGGGAGCCGACUACGAUGUCAUCGAUUCUCAAGCCGUCUAAUGGGGUGAGAUGGGAAGACGACGGCAAUGAGCAGUAGUGGCGGCGGCGUUUCAAUGGCUUUUCGGGACAGGCAGAGUGCUCGCUUCAACAGUGUUUUGAGAGCGCUCUCUGCGGGAAAUUGGGGUUCGAAUUUGUGCUCGCUCUUCACUUCUCCAAACCCGCCUUCAACUCCGUCUACCUAAUGGAUAAUUGAAGCUCCGCUUUGCGUUACCCUCCUGUCUCUCUCUCUCUCUAUGGCUAAAUGAAUCAAUUCAAGGCUUCUCAAUCCAAGAAGAAUCGCAAAAAAUUUACUCUCUGAUUUCGGUUUAUUCCCUUUCAAAAUGCGCCGAAGAUGAGGAUCGGGUCUCAGGUGGAGAAGUUAAGCACAAAUGUUGAUACACACAUACAACAGCUUGAUCAAUAUUUGAAAAAAAAUUGGUGCAGAGCUCUGGCUUGUUUGUCCUCUGAAAGGUUUCAUAAUUUUAUAAGGACAUAAUUAUUUCAGCCUCAGAUGGUGUUGCCGCAAGUGCCAUGCCUGCUCUAAGUCUUGAUGGUGGUGCGAAAUCUGGAAGGAGCAGCGAAGGUGGUAGAGGUCCUAGAGGAGGGCAUAAGAAAUAUUAUAACUGAUGCUCAGGACACUGAUGAAAGAAGGUACAUUGAUCAGCCAACAAAGUAGUCUAAGCCAUCAAGGUCCUCCCAUUUGCCUACUCAAAAUCACAGUUGGUGCAAUAGUGUUCUUUAAGUUUCUUUCAUAAACUCGUAAAUUUUUAAUCCUUUCUAACUUUGCAAUUUCUCUCUGUUUCAAUUUCUCUCCGUCGUUUUAGCUAUUCAAGCUGCUGCAUUCUUUUUAAAAGCUUUGUUGCAAUUUGGAAGCCUGUUUGCGUUUUCAAUAUAAUUCCUGACCAAUUCCAAACUGAAGGUAAUGAGACAGUUGCAACUCAUCCUUUGAUUCCAUUUCAAGUAGGGUUGAGCAAGUAUUUGAGAAUGUUGAUGAAGGUGAAAGUGAUAUUCCUUGGGAAGACCUGGUUAUUGGAGAAAGAAUUGGACUAGGUAAUUUUUCUUUUUCAUUUUCUCGAGUGGUGGUUUUAGAGUUUUUCUUUUAUUUCGAUUCAGGGAUUGUAGGAAUUUGCUGCAAGUGGUCAAUAAAUACCAACUACAUUUGGAAGUCACAAUCGUUAAUUUACCAGAGGGGUUUGAUAAAUGCUUCUGGAGAUGUUGGCCAAUUCAUUGAGGUAAACCUUCAUGAAUCCUUAAUAGUUGUGAAAUUAAUAUUUAACUUAGAUGACCUGUAUGCAGCCUUGUAGUUUUGUUCUAUUAUUCAUAAUCAUAGAGGAAUUUAUAUAUACUCCUUAAAUGUGAUCACCUGAAGAUCACAGGAAGAGAACUUGGAAUUUAUAUGCUAAAAGAAAGAGAACUUAAAAUUUUGUAUUAGAAAAGUUCAGAAGGACUUGUAUAGUGCCAGCUGCCAACUAAGUAAUUUAAGGUCUUCGUCAAUUAUUUUUUAAGUACUACAAAGCAAAAGAUGGAAGCAAUCAUGGGACCUUUGCGGUGCUUGCUUACGAUUGACCAUGACUAUUGGCAUGUAUGUUUUCUUGUAUUAUAUUAUGUUCUUCGUUUUGUUUACUAUGGUAUCCUUUAUUAUGGUUAUAAUUACUAUAUAUGUUGGGUUUUGAUGCUCAUAUGCAAAUAAGCUGCAAAGGUUUUAAUUGGUUUCUAUUAGUAUUAAUAAGCUUUGAAAUGGGCAUGUCUUAAAGCUCUAAGCUUUGUUUUGGAAUUAGUUGAUCUUUGAUAGGUAAUGAUGUUUCGAAACUAUACUUGGUUUCAGCCAAGUUUAGAACUUGUUUAGGUAGAAUGAUUUUUAGUAUAAUGACUGAGCUGAACCAAAGUUGGGUUCUUUCCUCCACUAGUUUGGACUAGGAAUGUCUUAAUUUGUUCAUGAUAGGUGUGAAGUUCUAAGCUUUCUUGCUGGAUUUAGUUGAUCGUGAAUACGUUAUUGAUGUUCCUAGACUAUACAAAGUAUCUGCUGGGUUUGGAACUUAAUGAUGAGCUCAACCAAACUCAAGUUCUUUCCUCAUUGAAUGAGGGGUUUGUCUCUGUAUGUAUGUAGCAUUUUUCUUGUUAGAACUAGUUUUGAGCUAUUUUUCAGGGAUGGACCCUUUACGAGAUACUGAAGUAUGUACCUGAACAUAAUUGGAUUGUCUAUGAACAAGCUCUCCAAGCAAACCCUGUUUUAGCCAAAAUGGUGAUAAGCCAGGGUCGUGUUUGGAAAUGAAGCGGUUCUUUGUUUCGAACUAGCUCCAUCUUGAGUACCAGUUUCAUCUUUUGAAAUCCACUUUUACUUUUAUACUCUGCAGGUCGCAAUCCAAGUUCACAACAGGUAAUUAAAGUGGUCUUCUUUUUUAUCAGGAACCAAAAUCCAUAGAUGAAAAAUGAAACUCCGAGCCAAGUCUUGAAGGUGAAACCUUUUCCAUAUUGUUUGUUAUUGGUAAAUUGAUAUAAAAAACAAAUCUGCAUUGUUAGCUGAGAGUUUGGAGUAUCAUGGUGACUUUCAGUUUCCAUUAGCUUGUAUUGCUUGAAUGUUGAAUGUCAAUCUUACUUUCCAAGCUGAAAUGUGGUGAUUUUUCUUUAAUUAGUAUUCCAUAAGUCAAGGAUAGCAUUUCAAAAGAGGCCUGAUUGUUUUUUUGUGUACAAAUAUCGUUUUGAAGUUUGGAUAUAUUUGUUUUUCACCUCAGGUAUAAUAGUGUACAGGUUGGUGUCAAUUAUUUAUUUGUUCCUCUUGCAUUUGCUUUCUUGUCUAGAUCUGGUUUGGCCCAGGGCCCUGGCUGAAUUUCCUCCACCACUUGAAAUGUCCUUAUGUUUCGUUCUUGGUCCAUUUAUGUGACAUAAGAAGGCAGGGUAUUGCCACAUCUACCAUAGCAUGCAGUUUACGUUUAUUUCUUUAUUCUUUAUUGUAUCAUUUAUAAAUGUAGAUCUUAACGGUCUUUCCUGUCUUAAACACUCAGGAAUGUGGUCCUCGUUUUACCUUAAAUUGAUCAGUCUGCAGCACGGGACAUUUGAUCCUAGAGGCGGGGAGUUUGAGUGGGUUCACAAGCUGCUACAACAUUUAAAUAUGCUACAAUAUGUGCUAACUUGUGAAGCUUCACAACAAGAUUGGAGGUGAUGCAAAUAAGAAUAUAGUACACAAGAUGCUUGGUAAAGUGACACAUGAAGGUUUUGUUGAAGUGAAAAGAUAUUAUAUCAGCUUUUGAUUCAUGUGUAGCUAGUUAGGAAUGCUUUUCUUCUUUUAUUGUUGGCUUGAAAUUUGGACAAUUUUGUUUGGGAAAUACUGCCUUUUGCAGUUUUAUGUACAGAAUGUUGGAUUAUGAUGGAUUGCUUGAAAGA